rnacentral:tRNA from 1 species
GCGAAAAUAACUCAAGAGGCGUGAGUGUUAAAUUGUGAGUUUAAAAGUUAUAGGUUCGAGUCCUAUUUUUCGCC